CUUUCCCGCGCGACCGGCGAGGGAGGAAGAAGCGCGAAGAGCCGUUAGUCAUGCCGGUGUGGUGGCGGCGGCGGAGACUGCGGGCCCGUAGCUGGGCUCUGCGAGGUGCAAGAAAGCCUUUGAGGUGAAGGUGUAUGAAAGUCAUCAUAACAGAUGUUUUCCAAAAACUUGUAGAAGGUUGUGAAAAAACUACUAGGAUCACGCGGCAUGUAUUGAGCAUAUAGGUUGCUGUAGAUGAAUGUUCUUAGCUGUCAUGUUUAAAAAUACUUCUGCUUCGUUACCUCAAGUGUGGCAUGCAGCAUUUUGGAAGGAAAAUUGAAGACGUGUUCAAGAAAACAUGAACAGAAGCAAAUGAUGAAAAUGAGCAUUUUACUUGAUGUUGAUAACAUCACAAUAAAUUAUGGAGAAAAAUACAUAUUUGGCUAACUUUUAAUUGCUGAACAAUAAAGUGUUUUCUUUUAAAUCAACUCUAAAUAGCUCCAUUCUCAUAGUCACUAGUCAGACCUGUUUUGAACAUAUUCGAAAGAUUAUAAUCUUGUCAAUAAUUAGCUUAUUUAUGGGUGGUGAUUCUCAUUGAGGCUGACAGCUGGGGAGACAUUGCUUGUACCUCUAGGUUCCCUGUCUGGCUUCCCCUUCAGAGCCUGCUGUUGUACCAGGUGGUUGAAUCUUAAAACUCUUUAAUACCAAAUAGCAAUCAAAUUCCCCCUUACAAAAAAAAAAAAAAAAA
rnacentral:lncRNA from 1 species